GGGCAUGUGGUGUAUCUGGUCAACACGUUCGCACAAUAUCAUUUCAUUUGUCCAGAUUAUGAUGUCGACAUCUGCGAAACGCAUCCGGUUCGAUCCCGGACGUGUCCC